GGCUCUGUGGCGCAAUGGAUAGCGCAUUGGACUUCUAAUUCAAAGGUUGUGGGUUCGAAUCCCACCAGAGUCG